UACGGGGGGGGCAAGCGUUGUUCGGAAUUACUGGGCGUAAAGGGCUCGUAGGCGGCCAACUAAGUCGGACGUGAAAUCCCUCGGCUUAACCGGGGAACUGCGUCCGAUACUGGAUGGCUGGAGGAUGGGAGAGGGAUGCGGAAUUCCAGGUGUAGCGGUGAAAUGCGUAGAUAUCUGGAGGAACACCGGUGGCGAAGGCGGCAUCCUGGACCAUUACUGACGCUGAGUGAGCGAAAGCCAGGGGAGCAAACGGG
rnacentral:rRNA from 1 species